UACGGAGGAUCCAAGCGUUAUCCGGAUUCAUUGGGUUUAAAGGGUGCGUAGGCGGACUUAUAAGUCAGUGGUGAAAUCCUGCAGCUUAACUGCAGAACUGCCAUUGAUACUGUAAGUCUUGAGUGUGUUUGAAGUGGGCGGAAUGUGUCAUGUAGCGGUGAAAUGCUUAGAUAUGACACAGAACACCGAUUGCGUAGGCAGCUCACUAAACCACAACUGACGCUGAGGCACGACAGCGUGGGGAUCAAACAGGAUUAGAUACCCUGGUAGUCCACGCCGUAAACUAUGAUUACUCGAUGUUGGCGAUAUACAGUCAGCGUCUAAGCUAAAGCGUUAAGUAAUCCACCUGGGGAGUACGGUCGCAAGAUUG
rnacentral:rRNA from 1 species